CGGUAUUGACAUGGGAGGAGCGGGGGCAAUAGGCUAGGGUUAGGGUGCGGCGCUAGGGUUUGUGUUGAACACUAUUUAGGUUUUGGGCCAUUUGGGCCAUUACAUUUUUUUUUGUUUAUUUUGGGCUAUUUUGGGCCUAAUGGACUUUGGACUUUUGUUAUUAUUUUUUGGUUUGGUUUGUUUAGACCCGAGCUAAAUUGGCCUGUUACAUUAAUAGAGUGAUACCUUUCCUUUUUUUUUUCUAAAU
rnacentral:lncRNA from 1 species